rnacentral:rRNA from 1 species
UACGUAGGGGGCAAGCGUUGUCCGGAUUUAUUGGGCGUAAAGAGCGUGUAGGCGGCCAGACAGGUCCGUUGUGAAAACUCGAGGCUCAACCUCGAGACGCCGAUGGAAACCGUCUGGCUAGAGUCCGGAAGAGGAGAGUGGAAUUCCCGGUGUAGCGGUGAAAUGCGCAGAUAUCGGGAAGAACACCCGUGGCUAAGGCGGCUCUCUAGUACGGUACUGACGCUGAGACGCGAAAAGCGUGGGGGAGCGAACAGG